GACGAACGCUGGCGGCGUGCUUAACACAUGCAAGUCGAACGGAAAGGCCCUGCUUUUGUGGGGUGCUCGAGUGGCGAACGGGUGAGUAACACGUGAGUAACCUGCCCUUGACUUUGGGAUAACUUCAGGAAACUGGGGCUAAUACCGGAUAGGAGCUCCUGCUGCAUGGUGGGGGUUGGAAAGUUUCGGCGGUUGGGGAUGGACUCGCGGCUUAUCAGCUUGUUGGUGGGGUAGUGGCUUACCAAGGCUUUGACGGGUAGCCGGCCUGAGCGGGUGACCGGCCACAUUGGGACUGAGAUACGGCCCAGACUCCUACGGGAGGCAGCAGUGGGGAAUAUUGCACAAUGGGCGGAAGCCUGAUGCAGCAACGCCGCGUGCGGGAUGACGGCCUUCGGGUUGUAAACCGCUUUCGCCUGUGACGAAGCGUGAUUGACGGUAAUGGGUAAAGAAGCACCGGCUAACUACGUG
rnacentral:rRNA from 1 species